CCUACGGGAGGCAGCAGUGAGGAAUAUUGGUCAAUGGGCGCGAGCCUGAACCAGCCAAGUCGCGUGAGGGAGGACGGCCCUACGGGUUGUAAACCUCUUUUGCCGGGGAGCAACGGGCGCCACGUGUGGCGCCACUGAGAGUACCCGGAGAAAAAGCAUCGGCUAACUCCGUGCCAGCAGCCGCGGUAAUAUGGAGGAUGCGAGCGUUAUCCGGAUUUAUUGGGUUUAAAGGGUGCGUAGGCGGAUCGUUAAGUCAGUGGUCAAAUUGAGGGGCUCAACCCCUUCCCGCCAUUGAAACUGGCGAUCUUGAGUGGAAGAGAAGUAUGCGGAAUGCGUGGUGUAGCGGUGAAAUGCAUAGAUAUCACGCAGAACCCCGAUUGCGAAGGCAGCAUACCGGCUUCCGACUGACGCUGAAGCACGAAAGCGUGGGGAUCGAACAGGAUUAGAUACCCCUGUAGUC
rnacentral:rRNA from 1 species